AGCAGCCGCGGUAAUUCCAGCUCCAAUAGCGUAUAUUAAAGUUGUUGCAGUUAAAAAGCUCGUAGUUGAAUUUCGGGAUCAGUUGGUCGGUCGUGCCUCGGUACGUACUGGUCAAAUUGAUUCCUACCUUCUGACGAACCACGAUGUCAUUAAUUUGGUGUCGUGGGAAAUCAGGACUGUUACUUUGAAAAAAUUAGAGUGUUUAAAGCAGGCUCGCGCUUGAAUACAUUAGCAUGGAAUAAUGAAAUAGGACGUUUGAUUCUAUUUUGUUGGUUUCUAGGAUCGACGUAAUGAUUAAUAGGGAUAGUUGGGGGCAUUAGUAUUCAAUUGUCAGAGGUGAAAUUCUUGGAUUUAUUGAAGACUAACUACUGCGAAAGCAUUUGCCAAGGAUGUUUUCAUUAAUCAAGAACGAAAGUUAGGGGAUCGAAGACGAUCAGAUACCGUCGUAGUCUUAACCAUAAACUAUGCCGACUAGGGAUCGGAUGAUGUUAAUUUUUUUAAUGACUCAUUCGGCGCCUUA
rnacentral:misc_RNA from 1 species